UGGCAUAGUCAACAGGAUUCCGAUGUGAGUGAGUCCUCAGCCCCUGAUGGUCCUGGGUCAGCUAUGUGGUCUCAGCAUGGGUUGUGGUACCUUGUGGCAGCCUUCCCGCUCAGAUGGGCCCCGGUGAAAACAUGGGUGAUGGUGGACGGGUCUCCCAUGACCAUGGAGAAGGCGCUGAAGCACUUUGAAGCACAGAGCACUGAAAAGGAGCGAGCCUUUGCCGGCAGAGUUGGAUGGGCGUUUUUGACUGUGCUACAGGAAGUGCACACUCAGUCCCUGAGGGAUACAGCUCAGGUAAGAGACCUCCAGGGUCAAGCAGAGAGCCUGGAGAUCCGGAUACACAGCUUGAAACGAGAAUUAGGGCCUGCCACUAGUGUGGGCCUGGGCCAGCCAUCCCAGUCAGAGACCCCCGCCCGGUCUGAUACCAAGGAGGAAGAAUCUCCACUGCAGGCUCACCCAGUGGUCCAUCAGAAAACAGAGUAGGAACAGCCACUGGGGCCCUGGGGCGUGGGGGUUCAGGGACCCCCUACUGUGGUGGAGCACAUGUCAUACAGUGCCUAUACCCCAACUGAGUUGCAUAAAUUAGGUAAACAGUGUCAGCAGUGCAUGGGGGAACCCCUACCCUCCUGGAUGCUUUGCCUUUUGGAUGAGGGAGCUGAUGGUAUUGUCUGCUCUGCCUCUGAAAUGGAAAAGUUGGCCUCCAUUAUGACCCAUCCUUCCAACAGCGAUUUCAGGUGAGCAGGCGGUUAACACAGGGGCAAGGCGACCACACCCUGACUGAAUGGCUGAUGGCUGCCACAGAACGGUAUGGAACGAUGCCAGAGAAAUACCAAAAACUGUGAGUAAAUGUCAUUCAUAUGCAGAGCUGGUGCAGGUAAUUCAGGAAAUGGGUAUGUGGCAAGUUUUGUUUGAUUUAAAUACCUGAGGGCCAUAUGUUGAAUGCUUUAUCUCCCACAUGGGGACCUUGUGUUGAGCUCUGCACCCCCGAGUGCUUUCAGCUCUCUGGCCACUGUCCUUCUCUGUACAUGGGACACUGCGUACAUGAGAUGACUACUGCCAUGGUGGCCCUCAGAGCAGAGGGCCAUUGGCAGGACCAGGGACUUUGUGCCAUAAAAAAGGGGAAGGUACCCCUUCCACAGGGGCCACCUCAUGGGACAAAAAAGGGCCCCAGUGGGUGACCUGCACACAGAUGAGAAUUGAUUCGAUUUUGGCUGAGGUUGACCGAGAUAAAACUGAUAGGCAACCCAGUGAAGUGCUGUUAACUUUGUGGAGGCAAUUGUCCCCAGAGCAGCAAUUCCAGAAAAUGCUCAAGAUGGGGCAGGAUGAUGUUGCUUGACCCAGUCCCACCAGGAUGCUCCAGCUCAAAGACUACUUGAAGGAUCUGCACCACCCUUCCAGCAGCAGCUGCGGAUGGCUUGCCCUGGCAUCUACACUUAGCUUCUAUGGAGAACUGGACAUGGCUAGAGACUUGGGGUCCCAUGGGCGAUGCCUAGAAUGCAAAAUGGGCGCGGUGGCUCACGCCUGUAAUCCCAGCACUUUGGGAGGCCAAGGCAGGUGGAUCAAGAGGUCAGGAGAUCGAGACCAUCCUGGCUAACAAGCUGAAACCCCGUCUCUACUAAAAAUACAAAAAAAAAAAUUAGCUGGGCGUGGUGGCGGGCACCAGUAGCCCCAGCUACUCCGGAGGCUGAGGCAGGAGAAUGGCGUGAACCCGGGAGGCGGAGCUUGCAGUGAGCCGAGAUGGCGCCACUGCACUUCAGCCCGGGCGACGGAGUGAGACUCUGCCUCAAAAAAAAAAAAAACUUUCUUUUGGAGAAAAUAUUUUAUUAUUCUAGGGCUCAUCAUGAUAAAAAUAUGUGAAGUAACACAACCAAUGAAUAUUUUAUGGAAACCAAAAUAUUUUUUAAAUACUGAUUAGAAAAUCGAAUCCACCAUCAUAUAGUGAUACUAUUUUUCUC
rnacentral:lncRNA from 1 species